rnacentral:rRNA from 1 species
AAAUUGAAGAGUUUGAUCAUGGCUCAGAUUGAACGCUGGCGGCAGGCCUAACACAUGCAAGUCGAACGGUAACAGAAAGCAGCUUGCUGCUUUGCUGACGAGUGGCGGACGGGUGAGUAAUGUCUGGGAAACUGCCUGAUGGAGGGGGAUAACUACUGGAAACGGUGGCUAAUACCGCAUAACGUCGCAAGACCAAAGAGGGGGACCUUCGGGCCUCUUGCCAUCAGAUGUGCCCAGAUGGGAUUAGCUUGUUGGUGAGG